GCAUCCCGUACCCUCUCUGUGUUGCUCUCGUUCGCGUCCCCCGUUUUUUUUUGUACAUGUAUUUAUUUAUUUAUUUAUUUAUUUCAUUUUGGAGCGUCCAUGUUGUUAUUGUUGUUGUGGUGGUGGUUCCAAACACAAACCUGUGUUUGUUUUGCCUAGUUUUGUUUCCCUUCCGGGAAAUGUAAUUGUUUUGUCUCCGUAUUUUUUCCCCUGCGAAACGUAAUUUGCUUAUGUAAUUUUGCUCGUUGAGCGGGUUGGUGUAAUUGACACGUGGCGUGUUGCUGAGGUCGAUGGUUGAUGGCACUUGUCGUCGUUGCUGUUUUUGACCCUGUGGACGUAUAAGGUUAUGUCGUCGCUGACCUUUGUGGCUCCGGCUCAUGAGCGUUGUUUUUUUUUCUUUCUUUUUUUGCUGACCGCGUGAGGACUUUGGGGUAUGAGGAGUGUUUUCAGAUUAAGACGGGAAUACGGAGAUGAAAAUGGUGUGAAGAAGGACUGACGUGAGCCCAGGGAGAAAGAGAUGGACAGAGUCACGGACGGAUAUACUAACUUUUUUUUGUUGGAAUACUGCAUGACGCUUGUCUCUUUUACUUCCCUUUCAAUCUUUUUUUUAUGUAUUUGUUUUGUCCUCUCCUGUAGUCUUUCUUUCUCUAAUUUCUUUCUUUUCUUUCCAUGUUUGUCGGCUUUGACUAAUAUUCUAAUUUUUUCCUUAUUCGCUCAAUUUGUUUCAACUGACCUGCUAACAAUUGUAUUAGGAUGUUUCUAUGUCAUUACCAUCGCUGCCCCUUUUAGCGAUAGUAGCAUAGUUUUUCCUCUACUAACUCUGUCACAUGCUACCCUUCAUUUUCUCUCACCAUAACUGAGUCCAUCAAUGUCCCUCCUCCGUCUCUCCCCCCCUCUCUCUGUCUCCCUGUCUCUCUGUGUGUAUGUGUGUGUGUGUGUGUGUGUGUCUCUCUCUCUCUCUCUCUCUCUGGCUCUAUCAGCACACCAUCCUCUCACUCCUCCUACUAUUUCAGUCCUGCUCAGCAGAGACUCAGCACAGGAACUUUGAGCAGGUGUGGAGGAGUGAGCAGCGGAGCGAUGGAGGGAUGGAGAGAGCGAGAAAAGGAGGGGUGGAGGGAGAGAGGGAGGGAAGGAGACAGACAGAGGGGGAGGAACGGCGUGCAGGCUAGCUGACGCUUGUCCAUUCAGACAUUCAGACAGUCUUUCUCUGCCUUUCAUUGUCGCUGUCAGGGCGCCGUUUUGUUUUUUUAUGCCAAGUUGUUUUUCUUUUUUUGUUUAUUACGUUUUUUUUCCUUGCCCUCAAAUUGAUCUUUUUUUCAAUCGUUUUUUUUUUUCUUUGCUAAGAACGAGAAACUUGAUGUCCCAUUUGCACGAGCAACAAGGAAGCAGCGUAAUUUCUUUUCCUUCUCUGCUCCUUUUCUCUGCCUCCCACCCUCUCCUGUCCUGUCCUGUCCUCUCCUCUCCUCCCCUCUCCUUUCUUCUCUUUUCCUGUCCUCUCUGCAUCCUUAAACUCAAAUGCUGAAUCAGCUGGAGACGAACGGACGCUCUGCACAACGACCACCACCACCCCCACCCCCAUCCCCACCCCCUGUUCCCCCCAUCGACCACCCCCAGCCCACUGCCACCCAUCCCCUCCUCUGCCCACCCUCCACCUGAUUCAGCCACAGCUAGCACCCCAUGGAACACCACCCAUCCAGCAUAAGACGCACGAGGGGGGGUCUCGCUCACUACCUGACAGCUGCCUUCAAUAGAGGUUAAACAGAGAGUGAACCGCCCACUGUACACAGAGUUGAAACCCCUCCUCUGCACCUCUUCUCCUCCUCUCCCCCUCUCCUCUCCUCUCCUCUCCUCUCCUCUCCUC